rnacentral:lncRNA from 1 species
AAUCUCAAUCAUACAUAAACUCCAUUUGCCUUGUUACUUUUAUAAUUAGGUAAUUUUGAAUUUUCUUCAUAAAUCUUAAUCCUAAUUAGCAAGCUUUAGCAAGCUGUAGCUCCUAAUUUAAUCAUUUUUUUGAAGCAAAAUUUUGCAUACAAAUGCCAUUAUAAGUCUCCUAUGUGCUUAAAAAGAAAUUAUUCCAAUCCAACUUAUAGAUUGUAAAAAAAUAUCCAAAAACUAACCAAUGUUACUUGGUAGCCAACUUGAAAGUUGAUGCAAAUGUUCCAGCAAUGGUUUUUCCUUCAACUAUUAACUUCAAUUCAAAAUUGGUGUACACCUUGAUCUUUAA